rnacentral:rRNA from 1 species
GCGGUGCGGCGUCUUACACAUGCAGUCGUACCAGGGAUACCGGUUGACUUGCACCGGGGAUUAGUGGCGAACGGGUGAGUAACACGUGAGUAACCUGCCCUUGACUCUGGGAUAAGCCUGGGAAACUGGGUCUAAUACCGGAUAUGACUCCUCAUCGCAUGGUGGGGGGUGGAAAGCUUUUGUGGUUUUGGAUGGACUCGCGGCCUAUCAGCUUGUUGGUGAGGUAAUGGCUCACCAAGGCGACGACGGGUAGCCGGCCUGAGAGGGUGACCGGCCACACUGGGACUGAGACACGGCCCAGACUCCUACGGGAGGCAGCAGUGGGGAAUAUUGCACAAUGGGCGGAAGCCUGAUGCAGCGACGCCGCGUGAGGGAUGACGGCCUUCGGGUUGUAAACCUCUUUCAGUAGGGAAGAAGCGAAAGUGACGGUACCUGCAGAAGAAGCGCCGGCUAACUACGUGCCAGCAGCCGCGGUAAUACGUAGGGCGCAAGCGUUAUCCGGAAUUAUUGGGCGUAAAGAGCUCGUAGGCGGUUUGUCGCGUCUGCCGUGAAAGUCCGGGGCUCAACUCCGGAUCUGCGGUGGGUACGGGCAGACUAGAGUGAUGUAGGGGAGACUGGAAUUCCUGGUGUAGCGGUGAAAAUGCGCAGAUAUCAGGGAGGAACACCGAUGGGCGAAGGCAGGUCUCUGGGCAUUAACUGACGCUGAGGAGCGAAAGCAUGGGGAGCGAACAGGAUUAGAUACCCUGGUAGUCCAUGCCGUAAACGUUGGGCACUAGGUGUGGGGGGACAUUCCACGUUUUCCGCGCCGUAGCUAACGCAUUAAGUGCCCCGCCUGGGGAGUACGGCCGCAAGGCUAAAACUCAAAGGGAAUUGACGGGGGCCCGCACAAGCGGCGGAGCAUGCGGAUUAAUUCGAUGCAACGCGAAGAACCUUACCAAGGCUUUGACAUGGGACCGGACCGCCGCAAAAAUGUGGUUUCUUCCUUUUGGGGCCGGUUCACACGUCUGUGCCAUGGUUGCUCGUCCAGCCUCCGUGUUCGUGCAAGAAUGUUGGAGAUUUAGAGUCACCGCCACGAGGCGCAAACCUCCGUUCCAUUGUUGUCACGCCACGUAAUUGGUGGGGACUUCUUAUGGGAGAACUGGCCGGUUCCACCUUCGAAGGAAGGGUGGGGAGCGAC